rnacentral:rRNA from 1 species
UCAGGUAGAGAAUACCAAGGCGCUUGAGAGAACUCAGGUGAAGGAACUAGGCAAAAUGGUGCCGUAACUUCGGGAGAAGGCACGCUGAUACGUAGGUGAAGCGACUUGCUCGUGGAGCUGAAAUCAGUCGAAGAUACCAGCUGGCUGCAACUGUUUAUUAAAAACACAGCACUGUGCAAACACGAAAGUGGACGUAUACGGUGUGACGCCUGCCCGGUGCCGGAAGGUUAAUUGAUGGGGUUAGCGCAAGCGAAGCUCUUGAUCGAAGCCCCGGUAAACGGCGGCCGUAACUAUAACGGUCCUAAGGUAGCGAAAUUCCUUGUCGGGUAAGUUCCGACCUGCACGAAUGGCGUAAUGAUGGCCAGGCUGUCUCCACCCGAGACUCAGUGAAAUUGAACUCGCUGUGAAGAUGCAGUGUACCCGCGGCAAGACGGAAAGACCCCGUGAACCUUUACUAUAGCUUGACACUGAACAUUGAGCCUUGAUGUGUAGGAUAGGUGGGAGGCUUUGAAGUGUGGACGCCAGUCUGCAUGGAGCCGACCUUGAAAUACCACCCUUUAAUGUUUGAUGUUCUAACGUGGACCCGUAAUCCGGGUUGCGGACAGUGUCUGGUGGGUAGUUUGACUGGGGCGGUCUCCUCCUAAAGAGUAACGGAGGAGCACGAAGGUUGGCUAAUCCUGGUCGGACAUCAGGAGGUUAGUGUAAUGGCAUAAGCCAGCUUGACUGCGAGCGUGACGGCGCGAGCAGGUGCGAAAGCAGGUCAUAGUGAUCCGGUGGUUCUGAAUGGAAGGGCCAUCGCUCAACGGAUAAAAGGUACUCCGGGGAUAACAGGCUGAUACCGCCCAAGAGUUCAUAUCGACGGCGGUGUUUGGCACCUCGAUGUCGGCUCAUCACAUCCUGGGGCUGAAGUAGGUCCCAAGGGUAUGGCUGUUCGCCAUUUAAAGUGGUACGCGAGCUGGGUUUAGAACGUCGUGAGACAGUUCGGUCCCUAUCUGCCGUGGGCGCUGGAGAACUGAGGGGGGCUGCUCCUAGUACGAGAGGACCGGAGUGGACGCAUCACUGGUGUUCGGGUUGUCAUGCCAAUGGCACUGCCCGGUAGCUAAAUGCGGAAGAGAUAAGUGCUGAAAGCAUCUAAGCACGAAACUUGCCCCGAGAUGAGUUCUCCCUGACCCUUUAAGGGUCCUGAAGGAACGUUGAAGACGACGACGUUGAUAGGCCGGGUGUGUAAGCGCAGCGAUGCGUUGAGCUAACCGGUACUAAUGAACCGUGAGGCUUAACCUUACAACGCCGAAGGUGUUU